CAGCCGCCGCGGGAAUACGUAGGUGGCAAGCGUUGUCCGGAAUUAUUGGGCGUAAAGGGCUCGCAGGCGGUUUCUUAAGUCUGAUGUGAGAGCCCCCGGCUCAACCGGGGAGGGUCAUUGGAAACUGGGAAACUUGAGUGCAGAAGAGGAGAGUGGAAUUCCACGUGUAGCGGUGAAAUGCGUAGAGAUGUGGAGGAACACCAGUGGCGAAGGCGACUCUCUGGUCUGUAACUGACGCUGAGGAGCGAAAGCGUGGGGAGCGAACAGGAUUAGAUACCCCAGUAGUCCCUGUCUCUUAUAU
rnacentral:rRNA from 1 species